GACAUCUUUUGCCCCGCCUGGAGCUGCGUCCUCUUCAGAAACCAUCUGCACAUAAAAGGAAUCACUCAAGAUAUGGCAUCGAUGGCUGCGGCUGCAUUUGGAGAGGACGUCGCUGAAGAAACAUCAAACUGCAUCACUUGCGGUCUCGCUAAUUCACUGGACUGGCACAAUUCAACAGCAUGAUCCAACCGGUUCAUCUGCAGCUUCUGCUUGGCCAACAGCUAAAACAUACAGCAUAAACUGUUGCUUAAAAGUCCUCCAAUUUGUGUCAACAUUUCCAGACAACUUCAAAGGGCCUGGUGGUUUAAUUGCCUCCAUUUCGUUCUUGAAAACCCCACUCCUGGUACCAUGUAUUAUUCAAGAACUAGACAAUAAACCAAUACAAGGAAUUACUGGUGCUGGCGUCUUUAUUCCACGUGGAACAUUCAUCAUCUACAAAUUACCACACCACUCCUUA